rnacentral:rRNA from 1 species
CCUACGGGAGGCAGCAGUGAGGAAUAUUGGUCAAUGUGCGCUAGCCUGAACCAGCAACGUAGCGUGAAUGAUGAAUGCCCUCGGAUUUGUAAACUUCUUUUUUAUGGGAAUAAAUUGCAGUAUGUAUACUGCUUUGCAUGUACCUUAUGAAUAAGGAUCCGCUAGCUCCGUGCCAGCAGCCGCGGUAAUACGUCGGAUCCGAGCGUUAUCCGGAUUUAUUGGGUUUAAAGGGAGCGUAGGCUGGUUGUUAAGUCAGUUGUGAAAGUUUGCGGCUCAACCGUAAAAUUGCAGUUGAUACUGGCAGCCUUGAGUACAGUAGAGGUAGGCGGAAUUCGUGGUGUAGCGGUGAAAUGCUUAGAUAUCACGAAGAACUCCGAGUGCGAAGGCAGCUUGCUGGACUGUAACUGACGCUGAGGCUCGAAAGUGUGGGGAUCAAACAGGAUUAGAUACCCUUGUAGUC